GAUGAACGCUGGCGGCGUGCCUAAUACAUGCAAGUCGAGCGAACGGACGAGAAGCUUGCUUCUCUGAUGUUAGCGGCGGACGGGUGAGUAACACGUGGAAACCUACCUAUAAGACUGGGAUAACUUCGGGAAACCGUAGCUAAUACCGGAUAAUAUUUUGAACCGCAUGGUUCAAAAGUGAAAGACGGUCUUGCUGUCACUUAUAGAUGGAUCCGCGCUGCAUUAGCUAGUUGGUAAGGUAACGGCUUACCAAGGCAACGAUGCAUAGCCGACCUGAGAGGGUGAUCGGCCACACUGGAACUGAGACACGGUCCAGACUCCUACGGGAGGCAGCAGUAGGGAAUCUUCCGCAAUGGGCGAAAGCCUGACGGAGCAACGCCGCGUGAGUGAUGAAGGUCUUCGGAUCGUAAAACUCUGUUAUUAGGGAAGAACAUAUGUGUAAGUAACUGUGCACAUCUUGACGGUACCUAAUCAGAAAGCCACGGCUAACUACGUG
rnacentral:rRNA from 1 species